GACAUGCAGGUAGUAGGGAACCGAGAGGGACCGACUCUUCGGAGAGCCUGCACAGGUGCUGCAUGGCUGUCGUCAGCUCGUGCCGUGAGGUGUCCGGUUAAGUCCGGUAACGAGCGCAACCCUCGCCAUAUGUUACAAGUGUCAUAUGGGACUGCCGAUAUAAAGUCGGAGGAAGGUGGGGAUGACGUCAAGUCAGCAUGGCCUUUAUGUCCGGGGCUACACACACGCUACAAUGGCCGGUACAAUAGGUAGCAAGACCGCGAGGUGGAGCCAAUCCUUAAAGCCGGUCUCAGUUCAGAUUGCAGGCUGCAACCCGCCUGCAUGAAGUCGGAGUUGCUAGUAACCGCGCGUCAGCAAUAGUGCGGUGAAUACGUUCCCGGGUCUU
rnacentral:rRNA from 1 species